CGUUUGAACCAGAAAACCUUUUUUUAAUGUAAAAAUUCCUUGCUUCCAUGCUUCCUCUUGCCCUUCGUGCGGGUUGUCUUCUCCUCUUCUCAUUUCGUGUUGGUGAUCCAGGGUGCCAUCCUCUUCCAUAACACAACAAACGCCUUUUGUAAGGCUCUCGUAUGCCACCAAAUGAUUCGUAUUCGUGUGGAAAGCUCUCAUCUUGGAUACGAUCGCGCAGUAGAAAUAAGUUUGAAGAUGAGUACCUGCUUACUGCUAAAACUAAGUUGUAAUGUCUUCAACCAGGAGCUUACAGAUGUAGGAAUGAUGACUUAUUUGCUUUUCAGGUACAGUUAGCAGGACAUGGCCUCCACGGAGCUCAGGCACUAUAUAAAGUGGGGUAAUGAGGGGCUUUGGGAUGAGGUUGUGGGGUUGGAUUGCAAAUCUUAUCUUAUGUAGCUGGUUUUGUCAUCAUGUGGUGCAAGGAUGAAUGUCAUACUUCAUUAGAAAUGUUGGUUUUGUCUCGAUGAACAAGCAUGUGUAG